CUUGACUAUUAUUUUUUCGUUUGGGUUAUUGGUAAGCCAAAACCGGGUAGAGCGACAUCAACUAUCCAAGCAUCGAGUGUUCGGAAAUCAGAUCAGACCAUCAAUUCGCAUCAUCAAUUAUUCGACAGUGUCAAGAGUGCGGAUUUGGGCAAAUCUGGGUGUCUUUAUCAGUUUAUGUUUGCGGAUCUUGGAGCCCAACACUGCAAUAGCGGCUGCAAUAUUUGAAUUAAAAGGAAAUGUUUGAGUAUCGUAGCGGAAAGCAUUGUUAACUUUUAGGGAUUCAGAUUUGUGUUGUUGCUUGUUAUAGCAUUGCUGAAUUGGAUGGAAGAAAGAAUGCAUCCCUUUAAUCAGAUGUUGGAUGUAUGUCUGUCUUCAUUAUAUUCUAAGGUGCUUCUGAUGCUUGCCUUCAAGAAAUUCUUUUGAGCUCCAGAAAGUUGGACGGUUUGCCUCGUGGCAUAAUACAAGGUCGGAUUUAGAGCUGA